GCCUUUAAUUCGAAAGUGGUGGUGUCUUCUUCUGAUGGAGCGCUUCAAAAUAGAAGGGUAUGACACCACUAAACAAUAUAUGUAUAUUAAUUUCUGUACAAACAGACUGGAACUACCUGUGCUUUAAACAGUUUUAAACCACACCUUUGAGUCAAUUAGACAUUUGUGUGUGUCACUUGUGCACAAAAUGCCUUAGUUUUUGCCUAUGCAGUACUUUAGAUUAAUCUUCUUAAUGUCUGAAAGGCAUGGUCAGCGGUUUGCCUUCUGGACUGAUGAGGCCAGAAGCCUGGUCCAAGGAACUCUUCAGUCUGUCUACAGAGUGCUGUCUCUGAGAAGGUCCCAGUCCACAUUGAGUCUGUGGAUGACCGCACCACAGAAGAAAAGAGACUGGUGGACUUUAUAGUAAAGUUACAGGGAUCUGAGGAGCAUUUGGUGGGUGUACUCAACGGGAAGCCCUCUAAGUGGUUAAAUAAGGUAACCUCUUCCCGCGUGCCUGUCUACCUCGACAGUGAGGAACAGCAGGACAUCUUGUUUCUUAUCUGAGAGGAGUGCUGGAUAGAACACCAAUUGUGCAUUUCAUCUGUGGUGCAUUUCAUCUGUGGUGUUCUUUUUCCGGAGGCCAUCAUAUAUGCCCUGGCUGCCCUCCGGAAUUUGUCCUUGCCGGAGGCUGAGCAGGUCUUCCUUUCUGGUCCAGAUUAUCAUUUCAGUGAAGUGGAAGAAUUUAAUAGAAAGAUUGACAAACAAUUGAGGAAAGAAGGGAGAUCAUUCAAUUGGUGGGUAUUGCUCUUAUGUACUUACACAUUUGAAGAAAAACUGAAGGUAAAAGAACUGGGUCCAGAUCAGCCUGACCUCUUAAUCAGACAGCAGACAAGCGAAAAGGGGAAGACGUACACGCGAAGCUACUCUUCACGUUGGUACACCAAAAAGGCCUGGCUAUGUGGGCGCGUUUCUGCUAAUGCCUUAUUUU